UGGCUAAAGUUUUUAAGUAGAGAUCAAUCAACCUUGCAUUCUAGAAUUAGCAACCUGGACAUUGAAUUCACUUACUUUAUAUGCAUGUUUUGGUUCUGAGUCUCCAUUUUCAAACCUCUCCUCCAGCUUGAUCUUUACUGUUUGCUUGAGGGCAAGCAAAGAAUAAGUUUGGGGGAGUUGAUAUGUCUAUAUUUCACUAGUUUUUACCAUGUAUUUACAUCUCAUUUAGUCUAGUUUCAUCCUUGUUUCAUGUCUUUAACACUUAGUUUGCAUGACUUUGAGCAUUUAGGAUCGUUCUACAUAUCUGUUGCAUACAUUCUUGCAUUUUGGAGUUGUAUCAGGUGUUUUUAGGUACUAAAGAGCUGCGGAGGAAGAUGUACUCGAGUUAGUACUCGAACAGCACCUGAGAUCCUUGUCAGAGCAGAAGCGUUGAAGCAAAAGUCUUCAGCGUUUAACCAGACCACUCAACCAAGACACUCGGACUGCAUACUCGAGUAUACUCAAGACAACCACUCGAGCAGAUAUGUGAAGAGAAGAUCAAGCACUCGAGCAGCUGCAAGUACUCGACCACAUACUACUCGAGUAGGUACUCGAGUACCUACUCGAGUUCACCUGAGAGCUUCACUCCAGCAAGAUGCAACCUUUGAAGAGAAGUCUACUCGACCAAUACUACUCGAGUACCAACUCGAGUAGACCUUAAACCGACUUUCUAUUUUGUCAUUUUGUGUACUAGGGUUUUCUACUUUGACUAUAAAUAGACCUCUUAGGGCUUUGCCCAAAGGAUCUGGCUUUUAUCCUCUGAACAAUAUUUCUGCAAACUUUUGUAAUCCAAAUUACUUUUGAUCC
rnacentral:lncRNA from 1 species